CAAGUAGUGAGAAGGGAGACAAAUUAAAGCUGUUUCCCCGUCUUGUUGUUGGACUCUACUCCAAAGGUGGAUAAUGGAUUUGAUAAUUGAGAGCAAUUUGCAGACGACAAAAACAAAUAUCUUUAGGCAUAUUCUGCUCUGUUCUCUUAUUAUGCAACUGGUUGGUCCCAUGAGUCCUAGUCUCUCGCACUCUGUACACCGCUAAUGAAUCUUGAGGUUCUGGGCAUUUCAAACCCCUCAACCAUGAGUUCAGUGACCUUUUGCAAACUGGAAAGUACAACUACACCCUCUGGCUUAAUUGCUUAAAAACCACCACAAAGUGCAAGUGCAGCUCCUUCCUCAUCAUUUUCAGAAGAAGAAAGAACACACUCACUGCAGCUUGUGGCUGGAACAUAACAUCACCAAUAAUUAAUAAUGGCAACUGUCACUGCUUCAAGCUUUGCCUCAACAAGUUCCCAUGUCAGCUAUGGCGCUGUAUCUUCUGUAUCAGAGCCUAAAACGGGAUAUAAGAAAAUGGGUUUUGGAAAACAGGCCAUGACUCACAAUGGGUUAAGAGCUUUGAACACAGUGGACGAGCUCCGCGUCAAAAUCAUGGGAAAUUCAAUUGCAAGGCAAGCAAGGAGCAAAUCUUUCAACAGUACUAGGACUGGUUCAAGACCGGCAGGAACCAUUGUUUGUGGAAGUGGGAUGAAUUUAGUGUUUCUGGGAACAGAAGUUGGCCCAUGGAGCAAAACUGGUGGACUUGGAGACGUUCUUGGAGGCCUGCCACCAGCUAUGGCAGCAAAUGGCCAUCGAGUGAUGACUGUUUCUCCGAGAUACGACCAGUACAAAGAUGCAUGGGAUACAGAAGUUACAAUUGAGGUUAAGGUGGGAGCAAAAACUGAAAAGGUUCGCUUCUUUCAUUGCUACAAAAGAGGAGUUGAUCGUGUGUUUGUGGAUCACCCACUGUUUCUUGAGAAGGUUUGGGGAAAAACUGCAUCCAAAAUCUACGGACCCAUUACUGGAGAGGAUUUCAAGGACAACCAACUUAGAUUCAGCCUGCUAUGCCAGGCAGCUCUAGAAGCACCAAGAGUUCUGAACCUUAACAGCAGCAAAUAUUUUUCGGGACCAUAUGGAGAAGAAGUCGUUUUCAUUGCCAACGAUUGGCACACUGCCCUCCUCCCAUGCUACCUGAAAGCCAUAUACCAAUCUAAAGGCAUAUACAAGAGUGCUAAAGUAGCCUUUUGCAUUCACAACAUUGCUUAUCAAGGCAGAUUCGCAUUCGCAGACUUCGCACUUCUCAAUCUGCCAGAUGAAUUCAAAAGCUCCUUUGAUUUCAUUGAUGGCUAUGACAAGCCAGUGAAGGGGAGGAAAAUUAACUGGAUGAAAGCUGGAAUUUAAGAAUCAGACAAGGUCUUGACUGUUAGCCCAUACUAUGCUGAAGAACUAGUUUCUACAGUUGAAAAAGGAGUCGAAUUGGACAACAUUAUUCGGAAAGCUGGAAUUCUUGGAAUUGUGAAUGGCAUGGACGUCCAGGAGUGGAAUCCAUUGACUGACAAGUAUACAGCUGCCAAAUAUGAUGCUUCAACUGUGACAGAUGCAAAGCCUCUGUUGAAAGAAGCCCUCCAAGCAGAAGUGGGAUUGCCAGUGGACAGUGACAUCCCUGUCAUAGGUUUCAUUGGUAGGCUUGAAGAGCAGAAAGGUUCAGAUAUUCUGAUAGAAGCCAUUCCCCAUUUUAUCAAAGAGAAUGUUCAGAUCAUAGUCCUCGGGACUGGCAAAAAGCCGAUGGAGAAGCAGCUUGAACAGUUGGAGAUAAAAUACCCUGACAAAGCCCGGGGAGUAGCAAAGUUCAAUGUUCCUCUGGCCCAUAUGAUAACAGCCGGAGCUGAUUUUAUGUUGGUUCCGAGCAGAUUUGAGCCUUGCGGUCUCAUUCAGUUGCAUGCCAUGCGUUACGGAACUGUGCCAAUUGUUGCCUCAACUGGUGGGUUGGUAGACACCGUUAAAGAAGGAUUCACUGGAUUUCAAAUGGGAGGUUUCAAUGUGGAAUGUGAAGUUGUUGAUCCUGCGGAUGUACAAGCGAUUGCAACUACUGUCACAAGAGCCCUUGGAACUUAUGGAACCCCAGCUUUUACUGAGAUCAUAGGCAACUGCAUGGCUCAAGAUUUAUCAUGGAAGGGGCCUGCCAAGAAGUGGGAGGAAGUGCUGCUAAAUUUGGGUGUUGCUGACAGCGAACCAGGGAUCGAUGGUGAGGAAAUUGCACCACUCGCCAAGGAAAACAUCGCAACGCCAUGAAAGACGCAAGUUCAACCUGCAGUUGAUCAGUUUUGUGAACUAACAUAAAAGAAAUUUCUGCACACCCAAAACAGACCGCCUUGCGUGCAUCAUAUGAAUGUAAAAAUUCUCGACCAAAAUAAGUGAAACCUUCUGUGCAAUCUUGUUCAUAGGCCAAUUGUGAAGACCUUUGGUGAUGGUUGAUUAAAAAAAACGAGCGGCCUGGUAGGGCAAAUGAAAUCAAUAGAAGAUUGAUAAGCGCUUGUGCCAUUUUCUUUUCUUCCAAUGAUGAUAAAAUCCUGCCCAUGUAACCAAACUCUCAUUUUAAAAUGAGCAAAAUGAAAGUAGCAUCCACACCACUCACCCCAACAACCCUUC